rnacentral:lncRNA from 1 species
AUUUAUGCAUGCAUGAUGAGUUUAUAACUUGUUUUGUUAUAUGCUUUAUGAAAUACUUUAUUUUGUAUUACAUGUUAUUUUUUAAAUAUUAUAUUAUCAUGAAAAAUUUAUGUUUGAUCUGAUAAGAAAGUGCAAGUUCUACUUACUGGGCUAGUGUAGCUCAUAUUCUUUUUAUUUUUUUUGUUUAAAUAGAAAAAUAAGGUUAGGAUCGGCAAAAUGAAUCCAAGCUUGA